rnacentral:rRNA from 1 species
GGGGAAUUUUGGACAAUGGGGGCAACCCUGAUCCAGCCAUUCCGCGUGAGUGAAGAAGGCCUUCGGGUUGUAAAGCUCUUUCAGCUGGAGUGAAACGGUGCGCUCUAACAUAGCGUGCUAAUGACGGUACCAGCAGAAGAAGCACCGGCUAACUACGUGCCAGCAGCCGCGGUAAUACGUAGGGUGCGAGCGUUAAUCGGAAUUACUGGGCGUAAAGCGUGCGCAGGCGGAUUGUUAAGCAAGACGUGAAAUCCCCGGGCUUAACCUGGGAAUGGCGUUUUGAACUGGCAGUCUAGAGUGCGUCAGAGGGGGGUGGAAUUCCACGUGUAGCAGUGAAAUGCGUAGAGAUGUGGAGGAACACCAAUGGCGAAGGCAGCCCCCUGGGAUGACACUGACGCUCAUGUACGAAAGCGUGGGUAGCAAACAGGAUUAGAUACCCUGGUAGUCCACGCCCUAAACGAUGUCAACUGGUUGUUGGGGGAGUGAAAUCCCUUAGUAACGAAGCUAACGCGUGAAGUUGACCGCCUGGGGAGUACGGUCGCAAGAUUAAAACUCAAAGGAAUUGACGGGGACCCGCACAAGCGGUGGAUGAUGUGGAUUAAUUCGAUGCAACCGCGAAAAACCUUACCUACCCUUGACAUGUCCAGAAUCCUGCAGAGAUGCGGGAGUGCCCGAAAGGGAAUUGGAACACAGGUGCUGCAUGGCUGUCGUCAGCUCGUGUCGUGAGAUGUUGGGUUAAG